UUUGGGCCUGGAGGGAGAACAAUGGGCCACUGAGGCCAGGCGGGGGGCGAAUGACAGGCCUCAGAGGCAGGGGAACAGAGGUUGCCUGCCCCCCAUGCCGACCGGCAGGAAAAGCUUCUAGGGCAAGCUAUUUGUCAGACUUCCUGCGGAGCCAGGUGCGGGGCCAGCUGGGUGAUUCCAGAAGACUGUCCUCAUGAGCACCACCACCACCUUUUCUUGAGGCCGUUCUGUGGGCCGGACACCAUGCUAAGCACCAGGCGUGCCGUCUCCUCUUUCUCAGCCUUGUCGUACAGACGUGGAAACUGAGGCCCGGCUCAGAGAGGUAUACACACGCCUGGAGUGGGGACUCCUCUAGUUGUCUACACUGGAUACAAUUUAAGACUGAAUUAUCCUGUCUCUGAGAAAUGUACUUUGGACCAACUGUGUGGUUGUCUUUUUUAAGCCAAGGACCAACCGUGCCCUGGGUGUUCCUGUCUUACACGGGUUUCCUGGAGUCAUUUAUGUCAUCCGGCCCCCACGUGACUCUGAGUUGGUGACUCCUGCUGUGUCCUGGCCUUUCCACAAGAGGCGGGCAUCAGGAAAGCGGCAGACACAGGUUAUGGGAAGACUGCAUCCCAGGCAAUUGUAAGAGGUGGUUGGGUUGAAAGGACUGACUGCGGCCACUUCAGUUCUCGAACCAGUCAGAGAGAUGGCCAGGCGUUUCUCCAGUAGAGAAACUGGAUCGCUCACAAAUAAAUGUAUGAAGGAGUGUUCAGAUUCAUUUGAAGUCCAGGAAGUGCGCAUUAAAACAAGUCACUUUGCCAUACAGCAGAGACUGGCACAACAUUGUAAAUCAACUAUACUUCAAUAAAUUAAAAACAAAACACAAAAAAACAAUACUGCCCGUCGGAUGAGCAAGAUAGCAAGUUGGAUGGUACCAAGUGUAGGAGCAAAUGUGGGAGACAGCCACGGUGCAUCAGCAGUGGAGGGCUAUCCAAACAAAUAGAACGGCCAUUCUGGAGAACAAUCUAAAACCAGCAGCCCCACUCCUUGAUUUAUAGCCUGGAGAAAAUCUCAUCCAGGAGCGCACGCUUUGGGACAAAAGGGGAAAUAGGAAGCACUGCAGGUGCCCAUCCCUAUGAGAAGGAAUGAGGCAACAUGGAGGACACCCGUUCUGGCAUGCCAUUGGCAAACAGCAGCAACCAAGGAGAUGCAUGGACGGCACGUUGGAAUGGAUCUCUAAAACAGGGUUAAGUGAACAAAUAACGAACAGAACAAGGUCUAUAGUGCAGCACCAUCUGGGUACAUGUUAGCUCCUAUCAUUUGGACAUUUAGAAUUGCAUAGACAAUUCUGUUUGGUCUCCAUCCCAUUCCCCCUGGUCCCCAUUACGAAGUUGCCUUUUCUACCUGGAUACUUUCUAGGAUUUCUCCUUUUUUUUUUUUUCCUCCUUUGAAAAUUUUGCUGUAGCAUUGCUUACAACGUCCUGGGUCCUUUUGCUCCGUACACACAGUUCUUUUUGCAGCUCAGAAGAGUUUCUUUGUGUUGCUUCUUUAAUUCUAGAGUUUGUUUCAUUUGUUCUGGCUUCUCACUCAUGAACACCAUUUUUUUUCAUUUGUCUGCUGUCUCUUCUUCCCCAUUUUUCUAAAAUGAUCAUAUUAUCAAUUGUAAUUUUUAUUUACUUGUCUUUUUCUUCUGUGUUCUUCUCUGAACCACCAACUCAACUAUCUGUGGCAUCAAUUCCAAUGUUCACUGCCACCAGUAUGGCUUGGGUCCUGCCAUUGUGUUUCUAGUUUCCUUGCCGACUCCCUUGUCUCACCCACCUCCUUCUGCAUCUCAUCUUGUUGCUUUCUGCAGGCUCCAUGCCUUCUUAGGCUCUAGGAAGAUGUCUGAAAUGACUUGCAGUGGGUCAUUUUUGGAGGUUUAUUCACCUCCUGGACACUGCCCCAUAUCUCCUGUACAAUUGUUUUUUUCAUGACUUCCAUGUUGGGGUUUUUGGGUUUUGUUUUUUUUCCUUUUUGCUCACCCUCAAGUGAAGCCAGAAAACAGAUCUGCUCUCUUUUUACUGGGUUGGUGAUCUACUCCUCCAGUCCUUCAGCAGGAGGGCAAGUUGAUGUUUGUAGAUACCAGCUGUCAACUUUAAUAAUAUCCUAGCCAGUUAUUUUACUAACAAAUGGGAGUUUAUUCAGGAAUAGCCAGAGGAAUUGUAAACUGGGAGGUGUGAACUAUGGCGGACUACAGGCAAAUCCAGCGAACAAGGCAGGGAACUUGCUUUUAUAGGGAAAAGGGGAGAGUUGCGAGGGGCUGUAAUAACCAAAGUUUCCAUUGGAGGAAACUGAGAGUCCAUUGUAUGGAGGUUUCUCAUUGGUUGGACUACUAUGGUCUCUGAUUGGCUGGGCUACCUUUGGGCAGAGAGGCGCUUUCUUCUUCCUGCUGGUGGUAAAGUAGGCAACACCUUCCUGUGGGAGAUGUAGGCAUAGGUGGCUUCCUGUUUGGAGUAAAUGACAAAGCAUGACUGCAGGGUGAGAGCUCCCAGGCCUGUCCCGACUCCAGUUUUAGCUGAGGUUUCUUUAAUUCCGCACAAAUUUCUUGUUUCUAGUGAAUUUUCACAUAGUUUCUUUGUGACUUCUUCUCCCUUCUGUUGUUUGCUUCUCUAUCAUCCUGAGCGAUGUUGGAUGGCAGAAUUGUUCCCGCCCCCCAGCUGCCCCCCACUGCCACGGGCACUUUCUCAUGCCUCCCACUGCUGCCCUGCACAGGACUCGUCCUCUGGGAAGCACCACAUCGUUGCCAACCCUGUCCUCUUUCUUCAACUUCUGCGCAACGUCUGAAGGUUCCCCCGCUGACCUGUCGGUGUCCUGAUGGAAGGACCAAGCCUGCCUGACUUCUUGCUGGAUCCUCGCACCCCACUGGCCCUGCCUCAUUGACUGUGCUGAUAAUUAGUUGUCAAACAGAUACAUCAGUAAAUGAACGAAU